GAUGAACGCUGGCGGCGUGCCUAAUACAUGCAAGUCGAGCGAACGGACGAGAAGCUUGCUUCUCUGAUGUUAGCGGCGGACGGGUGAGUAACACGUGGAUAACCUACCUAUAAGACUGGGAUAACUUCGGGAAACCGGAGCUAAUACCGGAUAAUAUUUUGAACCGCAUGGUUCAAAAGUGAAAGACGGUCUUGCUGUCACUUAUAGAUGGAUCCGCACUGCAUUAGCUAGUUGGUAAGGUAACGGCUUACCAAGGCAACGAUGCAUAGCCGACCUGAGAGGGUGAUCGGCCACACUGGAACUGAGACACGGUCCAGACUCCUACGGGAGGCAGCAGUAGGGAAUCUUCCGCAAUGGGCGAAAGCCUGACGGAGCAACGCCGCGUGAGUGAUGAAGGUCUUCGGAUCGUAAAACUCUGUUAUUAGGGAAGAACAUAUGUGUAAGUAACUGUGCACAUCUUGACGGUACCUAAUCAGAAAGCCACGGCUAACUACGUG
rnacentral:rRNA from 1 species